CCAACGGCCCUCUUUAGGGCCACAUUCGAUCAAAUCAAUUACUUU
rfam:Oesophagostomum dentatum strain OD-Hann O_dentatum-1.0_Cont730778.1, whole genome shotgun sequence.